AGGCCCUAGAUUUGGGGAUUCUUAUUGGGACACAUGUAGAAUCCCUAGCACAACUUUAAACCAGGUUUGCAAGUUUCCCUAAGACUCCAGAGACACUUUCUCAGAACAGCCUUAUGUAGAACAUCCUGCCUUUGUUGGAUUCAAGUUGAAAUGGUAUUUGAGUUCCCCAGGUUUUGAGGAUCUCAGAGGUAGUUUUGACAGAGGGAUUCUGAAUAGCCCAAGGUCACAACGUUUGACCUGAACCUAAGUAUCUCAAUCGCAAUCCAACACUGCAAAAAUACUGAAAGAGACUAUGAAUCUAUGAUGGUAAAGAUUCAGCUGUCUGAUGAAAACUUUGGGGGUUAUGCGAUAUAACUCUUUUUAUUUUAAUGGAGCUUUUGCCAAAUGAGUGACUGGGGGUGACAUAGGGAAGCCAAAGACAUUCUUACCCAUUCUUCCUUGACUAAAAGCUGAUGUGGCUCUCACUUUUAGAAAGGAGAAGCAUAACAUGUUCUACGCAUGCCCAGUUGGAUCUGGUCCUAUAAUCUGAAUGUGGAAGUUAUGUUUUAUUUGCUCCUGAAAUAGGGUAUUAUCGGUCUUUAUAUCUCAUAUGAGAUCCUCAUUACUUUGCACAACUGGAUUGAACUGCAGCUGGUGGUGGUACAGUAUAUCCAGAUGGAAGGAGAGAGCAGAAAUGCUGAAGGAGUUUUAUUGUCCAUAUGCUACAUUCAGUCAACACAUAAUAAUUACUAUUCACAGGAAAAUACAAUGUGAGUCCUCAUAUCCACAAGAUAUUCGUUCCCAGAUUUUGCAUGGGUAAUACUGAAUCUUCUUAUUUUCAAUAGGGCAAUUUUUUUGUAUCAGGAGCAACUUGAGAAACUGCAAGUCACUUCUGGUGUGCCCGGAUGUUUUGAUGUUUUUACCAUCCUUGUGGGAGGCUUCUCUCAUGUCUCCGCAUGGAGCUGGAGCUGAUAGAGGGAGCUCAUCCGUGCUCUCCCCGGGCAACGUCCUUGCAGACGGCCAAUACUCUCACACCAGAAGCAACUUGCAGUUUCUCAAGUUGCUCCUGACACGGAAAAAAAAAAAAGCAAACACUAUGAUAAGCCAAAUUGUAUGGCAGCUGGAUUCAGCUACUUGCAUUCGUAGAACUCCAGCUUCAAAUUG
rnacentral:lncRNA from 1 species